AAAGAAACUCCAGAACCCAAAGCAAAUUUUCCUGCCCGGUACAAGGAGGACAUAUUUUCACUGACUGUUUCCAUGGAAAUAAAUCGGAGGCAUUACUUUUGGAGCAACUAUGCGGCCCAAGAUAAUUUGUCUUGACUCAGUGUGAUCCAGGCAAGCCAAAAGGUUGCACACCCAUGAAAUAAGCCAAGAAAGUACAUGGACUGCAAGAAAAUUCUUUUUGGUCUACUGACAUCCCUGUUUAAUUAAUAAGUGCUGUCACACAUUCAGCAAGCACGCAUAUCGCUCUUGGUCUUGGUAAGAGCCACUCUCUUUUCCAGUGCUGUGAGUCACUCAGUCUUCACAAGGUUUUGUCCUCUUCACCAGUCACAAAAAAAUAUUUGUUUGGAAUUUGGUAAACUGAAGUGGAAGUGUCCUCGCUGCUGAGAAUUUACACUGGGACCAGAAUGAUGCCUGCUCUUCCCUCACACAAGGAUGCAGAGCCUAUCGAAGGAAGGGAAUUACGAAAUGACAAGGAUCAUAUGAGCCACUUGGUGCAGUACACACAGAGCAGCUAAAAUAACAAGGGGUGAUGCCAUCUCUGAGACACAAAGUUAUAACAGAGUAAGCUGACAUUAUAAAGUGGCUGGAGAAGCUGUGUACUUCCUACAGCAGUAGAGGAGCAUGAAGUGCAAUCCUCCAUCAUUUUUGAGGAGAGAAACUCCGUCUGCAAGCUGUGAAAGCAAACUGGUCGUGUGAUUGCUGUCUGAAGGAGUAUCCUUUGAUACCUAUUGAUUCAAUUGAUUUCAUUUUGUGGAAUGGGUUGGAAAGGGCUGAUCUUUGUCUUCUGUCACAAGGACUGGGAAUUAAAUCAUUCUGUCGCCUUGGGCUCUGAUCAUGUUAAUUCCACAGCCAACAGGCAAACAUGGGCAUGGUGCCUGGCACAGUGGUGAUCUGUACUGUCAUUCAGAAGAUGAAACUGUGCGACAUUCACUAGGAGCCAACUGAAAAGUCACCGGAGGCACCCUGUGGCCUUUUCUUUUGAUGCAUAAACAGAUUUUACUGGAAGGGGGGAGAGUUGCCCAUUGCACCAGAUCAACUCUGCUUUUUCACAUCAAUGCUUGGUUGCUGAUGUUGGCCCCUGGCACAGGGCUCUUCAAUUUUCAUCAGACUACUAAGAAUCCCCUCAGUAUUUCAAUGAGAGCAUUUAGGAUACUAAGAUAUAUCUGGUUUGCUUUGGAGUUUUUAUUGUUGUUGCUGAUUUUUUCCAAUCUGUGGAAGGAACUGUCACUAGGAAACCACUGUGGUACGGGAACUGUAUGAAUUCUGCAGUCUUCUUCAUAUCUCUUUAUCAAGUGAUAGAUACAGCCUGUCCACUCCAUUCUUUCCCUUUUUCCUAUUCUGUGACAGCAAAUAAAGACACCAGCUAAAGCCGGUUGUGGAGAUUAGGGCUGUUUUCAGCUCACCUUCUUAGCAAAACAAGGCUUACAUGCUUACUCUGCAUGUAAUCUUAAUGUCUUAUGAACACUUCUAGCCAAUCUCUCCCAAACAUAUCAGAAAAGCUGAGUUGCCAGUACACUUACUUCCUACAUUUUCUUCCAGUUCAGUCAAAAGGAGCAGCCCAAAAAAUCAUCAGCAGCAUUUUUCUGCUGUAAGUGGGAAAGGUAGAAAAACAGCAGGAGAACUUUAUAUUUGCACAAGGAGAUAAUAUAAAUCUCACUUUCAAUCACUUAGUAUCCAUUCACUGAGAGAUGCACAUCCACAAGAAAGGAGGUGCGCAGCAACCCACGUUUUCUUAUGUGAAUACUUGUCAACUAGUAGACAAAUCAAACAAGUCAGUUGGUUCUUUGCAGGCUUACACUUGUGGCAUUGAACUUAAUCAUUCCUAUUUCUGAAUUCUGGUCCUGAGUUUAGGUAAUGAUUUCUUUCUCAGUAGUGACUUUCUGUACUGGUUGAAACAUAAACUACUUAAAUGACUGUACUCAAUACUUAUUUAUUGUCUCUUGCAGAAUUAUCUUUCCCAAACCUUUCUUGAACUAUAAUGUUAAUCUGGGGAGCUCUGGAUGUAGUCCAUCCUGGAUGUCUGCUCCAGAUAAUACAAAAAAACACUGAAUUUUUCAUAAUUCUUUCUAUACAUGCAUGUUGGUUUCUCAGGUAUGUGAUUUAUGGACUCUUUCAGCAUCACUUUCUGCUUUUGAGAAGAUACAGAAAAAAUAGCAGCCCUAAUGCAAGGGGAAGAUGUGAGGAAAAUCAAAAAGCUUUGUGUUCCCAGAGCAGUAAAAAAAUACCUCAAAAUGUUUUUCUUAAGAAAACAGUUUCUGGCAUGACCAGGAUGUUUUCAACUCAACUUUCUUCUACCUUGUUUAUACAGGUGAUCAUCAGUUUUCUUCAGCUUCUGGUCUAUCAGUCUCAGAGGAUAUUUACAGAUCGUAUAAUAUUGAAUUAGAAUCAUGGAAGUGUUAAUGUGCAAUAUAUGCAACAGAAUGGUGGCUACAAAUUAACACUAGUGUCCAAUCCUUCAGAAAAAAUAAUAGAAAUAUGCUACUGCUGAGAUUUAAUGCAAAGUGAAUGAAAAGAAACAGUGACAAUACUUCUCCAUGCUUUCAGAAUUAAGAGGAUUCUAACACUAAUCAAAACCUUUCACACAUUCUUUUUUCCCAUGCUGAAAAUGGAUCAAAGUUUGAAAAUACAACUCAGAGAUUAUUAUGUUUGCAUGCGUAUUUUACAAUCUAUAAACAAGACCUUUACUAAGCAAGCAACUUCUCUAUGGAAAAAGUUCAAUUUCCCAUAAAGAAUUCACGGGAAGAUCUGUAUGUUCAAAAUAUACUUUCUAUUUAUUUCACCCCAGAAAUUCAUCUGACCAAUUUCUUUUCCAGGAAGGGGGAUAAGUGAAAACAUAUGCUUGGUCAUUCUGUAUUUUUUUAACUUCUUGAAUUUCAGCAGUAAGGAGAUUAACUUGACUCAGUAUAAACUAGGGAUGGAAAGAUCUUUGAUGCAGCUGUGAAACUUUCUGCUUCUUUCAGAGCUGAAGGAACACAGCAACAGAGACAUCUGCCACAUCUGCUUCUGUUAUAAAGCAUCAAGUAUAUUGAGGAAGAUAAUGCUUGGUCAUGGUACAUGUUAAUAUCACCUACUGACAAAGCAGGGUUUUCUUAUGUUCAGUUAUGUACACUGACCUGGUAUUAAGUGGAAGGAUCACUGCCCUUUUACAACCUUUUGUACUUGUUCAAUAGCUUUUGAUUCUGUUUGGAGAACCCGUUUCUUGUUAAAAACUUGAGCAACCAAAUCCAUCCUCCUUGAGCAUUGCUGCUCAUAUACCACAGAAUCACCAAAUUCUUGUGGGCUUUCCAAAGCCUUCGUGAGCUAAUGGUGGUCUCCCAUGAUUUCCUUCAAAAUCCGCACAACUGUAAUAAGCCAGAUACCUUAGACUUACAAGGACAGCAUUCACUAACAGCUUUGAAAUGUGUAUACCCAUUGCUGCUUUGAAAACAAGGCCAAAACAGCAUUUUAUUUUUACUGAACAUUAUUAGAGAGCUCUCCACUAAGCCUGUCCAGAACUUUUGUAUUAUUUGAGAUGAAACAAGAAGAGGAAGCUUCUUCUCUAGAAAUUUUGUACUAGUGAGGUUUUUUUAUUCAGCUGAACCCAAAAGCAGAAUUUGGAUCAGAGGUUUUAUUGUAAAAUCUCCAUUACUUCCUGUAGAUUUUCCUAUUGCUGUGCAGCCCAAUUGAGCAGAUGGUAUUAUUCAUCUAUUUUUCUUCUUUGAACUGUGACUGUAACUGUCAUUUGUCUUCUGACAGUCUUAUCUUCCUGUUUUUGGUGGGGUUUUUUUUGUUUGUUUUGUUUUGGUUUUUUUUUUUUUUUCCUAAAAUAUUUGGUGAUCUGGUCAAAAGCAUGCUGAGAAAUCGUUACGUGUUACUACCCUGGGUAAAUUGCCUUCCAAAUUCUGCAGGUGAAUUUCAUCUCUAAUCAGAUUCCUGCUGCAUGACAUCAGCUGCAUAGAAUUCAAAUCAAUACAAAAGUCCUCUUGCAGGUUUGAGCUCCCUCUGAAGGAUCAGCCAUUUCAUUUAGCUGCUGUGUACUUAUUGCUGGAAUAUACCUGGGAUGGUUUGAGUGACAGUCUUCAUUUCUGGUUCGAAGGCCUCAAAGCACCAGGAGGGCAAUGCAGCCCUCACUGCCCACGAGAGCUGACAAGUGCUGAUGACUUGAAGGCUGUGACAAUACAGUCCUGUCUGACAUUAAUCUGGGGCUGGGAGUGAGAGCUGUUCCUGCCUCCUCAUGACCUCCAUUAUUCACCGGCUGAGUGACUGCAGUGCUGACAAUCCAUGCUCAUCCACACCAGCCCACGCCAGGCAGUCAGCAGGAAGAUGCAAAGACAGAUUUAACAAGGCAGUUCCUUGCCAAUCAUCAUGUGCAUUAAAGAAGAUGGGACAGAAUGAAGAAUGAAAAUCCUAAGGGAAUCCUAAACAGAGAGACAUAAAUAGGAGUUUAAAGGGUGAAUUGCAUCAUUUGCCCUGCUUACAGGUACCUACUCGGGCAGCAAAAUGUUAUUGCCUGCUGAACCCAGCUUCUGCUUAAUUCUGCCAACUGGCAAAAUGUUUAUUAUCCCACGUUUAAUACAUGUCACUGCAGACCCGGACUGCUAAAUGGGUGCCUUCUUCUGGAUUGGACUCAAAGUAAGCACGGACCAAGGUACAAAAAUAAUCAAAACAAGUUGCUAUUGAAUAGGAUUUGCAAGUGAGGAUUCUUGCAAGCAGAAGGCUGAGGCUGAAAAGUGAAAGCUGCAGAGGCUUUCUGACUUUUUAAGAGAAAAACACUGCCUCAUCUUUUCUCCUGAUACACACUGGUACUCUCUCUGCUCCUCUGCACCUGCAGAAAUGGAUGGAUGCUCCAAGUCUGUUCUGUUUCUCUUGGAAGAACUGUGCUAGACAGCUCAGCAGUCUGCAGGUGCCAGCCAGAGCAUGUCUUGCCAAGCAAAGGAGACUGCUUUGUGCCUCUGAAGGAAGGCUCAGGGGCAGGUUUUGCACUGGAGAACUUAUCUACAACAUAGAGUUCUUCCUACGUAAGACAGACAAAUCAUAAGCCAUGCAUCAAAUACUGGUUCAGGGGAGCUCAACGAGUCCUCUCAGAUGAAUACAAAAUUCACCUAAAAAUGGAUUUCCAGAAGAACUGACAAGUUGGUUGGUGUGACACAUGGACUUUUUGCAGGUGGGUAAGGGGCAAGAAAGGACAACGAGAAAGGACACGGCCAAUUCUUAUGUCAGUGUUCUCAAACUGCAACCUUUCUGUUUUGUUUCUUUGCCUCCUAAAUGGCAUUUUUACCUCAUUAAAAUUAAAGUAGAUUUUAAUAUUAAAACAGCUGUUAAAUAAUGUGAAAACAGAAUAAGUUCACCCAGAUUAAAAAUGUAUAUAUGUAUCCUUUUUUUUUUUUUUUUUCUUUGCUCCAUUUCUCCAGAUUCUUCCAGGUCAACUCUAACAAAAUCUUUCCCCUACCUCUGGUCUGUCCAUUACUAGGCCAUGAUUUAUUUAGCUCUAAGCCUAUGCUUAAAGGUGCGUCUGAAGCUUUUUCCAACUGCUGAUAUCACAGCGCUGACACUAUGCUGUGACUCUCCUCUGUGACCCUCGUGCUUUCAAAUGUCCCCUGCCUCAGACUUCUAAAGAAUAAAGAAAUAGCUGUGGUUAGUUUGCUAGGUCAAAAGCAGCCCAGCUGAAAACAGACACUUACGUUCCCCCCUAGCUAUGCCUGCAUCUGAAAUCAGGGGAUUUUCUUUUCAAGUUUCGUCAGCUUUCCAACUCUUUCAAGAAAGAGAUCGAAAGGGGAAAGAAAGGAGAGAGGACUGUAAACCUUAAUGUGCAUACAGCUGUGACAGGGAGCAAAUGCAGGGAAAAUUCGCACUGCAGUUGGCGUGUCCUCCUGCAGCCCAGGCUGAAGCAACCCCUGUGGCUGCUGUGCUGUUGGCGGGUGUUCAGUGCAUCGCAGCUGAAGAUGCUCAUGUGAACCCAUGGGAAUCUGUUCUGCCAAGUUCCUCGUAGCUCUGCUCGGUUCGGUCUCAUUUUUAUUUAAUGCUCUUCUCUCCCCUACUGUGGUUUGGUGCGGCUCAUUUCUGCAGCUUCCAUGAAGAUGCAAGGGUGAGAAGUAUUGCGGAGUUAAGAGAAGAGAAAGUCUCUCCAUCUCUCUGUCGUCCUGCUCAGACCCGAGAUUUAGACAAGGAAGAAUGGAAGAUUCGCUCAAAGGCGGCCUGAGAGUCUGCUGAGAAAGGAUGAGCCACAGCAGAGGAGGAGGAGAUUCAAGAAGGAAACAACAACCCAAGAGCAAGGAGGUUGUGAAUCAGCCAAACCUCUGGGAGACAUCAUGCACAGAGGAGGAGACACCAAGACUCCAUGCUCAGGAAAACUGAUAUACUUCUGUUAGUAGUCUUGGGUCUCAUUUGCAUUACCAUGCAUUACCAGUACUUAGAGAUAUGUUUAACUUUAAGGACAUGGGUGAUUGUGGUCUGAAAGCAGCAAUGUGGUUUUAUCUGCUUAUGUGCUCUAUAUUCUCAAAGGGAAACUGUUCCCACUUUUCAGAAACAAAACCUAAGGAUGUGACUGGGAAAAUGAGCCUGGGACAAAAAAAUCAGACCAACAGUCUGAAAAGAUAUAAAAUAGAAUAAAAUAUGUCACAGCCUAUUGUAAAAAAAAUCAUUUCUAACUAAGAAAAAGUGACUUGCAGGACUAAUUUGAGAAUAUAUUUGUAAUAAGCCAGCUAAGAUGAGCCAAGCUUUUUAAAUCAGUCCAUCCCUGCCUCCUUUGGCUGGUAGCAAGGAGAAAGAAACUUGGUGUGCAGCUGGAAGACUGAUGCCAAGCUAAUCGAAUGUGCGUGCAGAGGGAGCAGCAGAUGACAAGGACAGGAUUGGCAGGAUGUCGCCAGAUUGUUUGAUUAGCAAUGGGAUGGCUCAAGUGCUCCCUGUCCUACCAGGAACUUGGCACAGAUGCUGACACGUGACUCAGUCCCCAAGCAGUUGUUCUCUGCAGCACUGUUUGAAAAAGGGCUCUGCUUCUCCAAAAACAGGAAGGGUAUUAACAAAAACAAAAACAAGGAUGAGAAAGAAAGGCUAUGAGACUGUGUCUAUAAAUGUUAGAUUCUGGCUAUUCUUUCUGUUAAUACCACCCAAACUUCAGCUGAAAUGAAAUAUUUGACUUGGGAUAAAAAUCAGAUAGUCUGAAAUUUAACCCAGCAAAAGUAAUAUGAGGGAGCAUUGAUGAGUGGGUAUUUUCUUUCCCCUACAGUUUCGCCAUCCAUGUUAUUGCUUUCUUUCUGUGUGUCAGUUUAGACCAACCUGCCACAAAAAAAUAUAUUAUUUUUUUUCCUAGGAGACAAAUAUGGUGAGAAAGGCAGCAACACUAUCUUCUAACACCAAAGUUGCAAAUCUAUUCUGGUGAAGCUAAGUGAAAAAUGAAGCAAACUGAUUUCAGAGACAUAUACGUAGGCCUAUGGAGAAAGCCCCAAGCAUAAAAACUAGCUCUCAGCACGAAACAUGGGUAGCAAUUGCCUUUGAUUACUAACAGCAGGUUUUUCAGUCUAUGGACAAACGUGUAGAUUAUGAGCAAUUUUCUGAGGCAUCUAAAUCAGCAUAUUCAGAUAGAAACAAAUUUUUGAUGCUAUGGCAUCACAGCUACAGUCCAAAUUACAUUGCGCAGAUGUACAUGUAAAUAUCUUACUUGCACUAAAGGCAGCUCAGAAAAAUCAGGGAAUCUGACAUCUCCCCUGAGAUUUUUAAGAUAGUUCAAAUGAUAAAAUAAGUAAGUUCCUCAGAAACAAGAUGGGUGUUGGUGACAGUUUGUACAUUCAGCACAACAAAUAAUCAGCUGCUAUGAAUUUGGAUAACCCUGUUAAAGCCAACAGAACAGAAACAGUUUUUAUCAAGUUACAGCUAGUCCAGAGCACAUACAUGAGACUUGUACAUAACAAUACUGCAGAUAUAUGGAGAAACUGUAAUGCAGACAGCAGCUUUAUAGUGGGCUUUCAUAUGCCUAUAUACUUCUAAACUGUAUGUGUAACUACAUUCUUGUCAGUUCUUCAGCCUUUUCAGAUGGAUAUGUUACUUCUCUCUAACGUGUCAGUUUUCUGACUAACCUGUCAUAACAAUCUAUGACACCACUCUCUAACAGCUUACCACUGCUUUACAUGAAAUGUGAGGGUUUGUCUGCAGUCACACAUAGGAAUCAUAUUCCAAAAUAAGAGUGUGGGGGAGACGUCUGUAAGUAUAGAUGUAAGCGCAUACGUAUGUAUACGUAGACAGACACACAGAUCCAAAAUAUCUGCCUGUGAAUCAUUGGAAUUACAAUCACAGAGAAUGAAGCAGCACAAGAUGGGAUAUUUCUCCUGAGAUGGGAUAUUUCUCCUGAGCUGCACACUGUUUCUCAGCUUUGUGGAAAACUCCUUUUAUGCUGUGACCACAAAUGAUGCACCAUCAGUGGAGUGAUACCGUGUUGCUGAGAAAUAAACUGCUUGUUUGAAUGGACUUUGCAUUCGUUAUAGAAAAGGAACAACUCCAGUUUUAGAUAGAUUCAUUUAUUUGCUUUGCGCUGUUUCCAUGACUCAUAAUCCUUUUAAUAAAUCAAACUAAAGAACAUAACAUCAAAUCAGAGAAUCAUAGAAUCUUUAGAGUUGGAAGGAAUGCUUACAGGCCAAAGAGGUGCAAGGAGGUACAGGUUCUUGAUUUGAGUCCCUCUGGAACACUUGAAAACAUAAAAAUUGUUCAAAAUAUCAUCUUUCCAAAUUAAUAUGUGUUCUUGUUCUGUAUUGUGCACACCGACAUGACAUGAUUCCUGGAAUUUCCUGCUGAUAGAACAUUUUUCCAAAGAUGAGAAGACAUCCAAAACUUUACAUUAGCAUAGUUUAAAUUCACAAGUCCAUGGCCUCAGCCUACAGACAAUGAUGCCCCAGUCUCACUUGCAGCUAUUUCCAUUAGACGAGUGUGGCUGAUGGGUCAGAAUGGAAAAACUCAUGGGAAAAAAGACAACUUAAAAUCCAAAAGAUAAUGUUGGAGGUUUUAUCUGUGCUUCUGACAAUACACAGCUGUUAACUCUACUAAUCUGGGCUUUCUCUAAGGGCUGGCAGGGAAUUCAACAUAACCAAAUCUACUCUCUCUGAGGUGCGGGAACUUUCUGGAGCUUAUAAUGAAAGUCUGGAUGCUCAUGGAAAUCAAAGCUGCAUGCUCCUGCCCACAGAAGAGACAGGCAGCAUUGCCACUGCCCUGUGGCCCCAGAAAUAGAAUGGAAAUCUUUGAGGGACCUAAGAGAGAGGACUACAGCGAACACACAAUCUGUGUUUCCUGUAAACUUCUUCAUUUUCCCUCCAUCCUACUUUCAAAUGAAAACAGUCCCUACUGUUCUGAUGUAGGGGAGAAGUCUUUCCUGAUACAUAGCUUAACCUUAAAUGCUUAAAAGAGAAGGCAAACAGGUCCCAGAAAGGCUUAUCUGCAUCACAGAGGACACUAGUACCUCCUACCCCUCUCUUUCCAGUUGAAACUUAUCUUGGAUGUUUCAGAAAAAAAAGAUGAAGAGAAAGAGAAAAACAGCCAAGCAUUGUGUAAGGAGGUGUGAAACGUGUUUCUGGCCUUUACUUUCAUUCUGUGCUACCAUCUCAAAAUCUUUUCCUUGUUUCUGGGCAUCCUGUGUGACCCUUGUAAUUACAGUGAAUGUCUCUCAGGCAACAUUAACCCCUGCCCUGAUCCAUCUCUAACAAGGAUUGCAUUAAAAACUUCACUGUGUCUGCAGCUAUUUAAUCAUUCAUCACCUGGAAAGUGGUACUGCUCUACUGCUCUGUGACUGUGGCCAUUAGUGGUGACAAGCAAGGUCUUCCUGAAAUUAAGAAUAUGACAGUAUGAGCUGGCUUAGAUUCGGCCUUUUACAGAUACAUCCAAUAAUGAAAACUCCUUCACAUCGGUACUGUCCAAAGCCCGCUGACGUCAGUGGAGAGAUCUGAUCUCAGUGGGCUUUAAAUCAGACUCUAUAGCUAAGGCUUCCAAAGCAGCUGGGGGGAUUCAGGCACGUAUCUUUCAUUAAAGUGAGGGUAUAUUAAAGCAAAUGGAAGAUAUGUGUCUGAAAUCCCCUAGACUGCUUUGAAAAUCUAAAAUACUGUGCAAGCUGUACAGCUUUCUCUAUAAAAAUAGCUGCCAAAUCUAGCUUUGGUAAAGGCAAUAGAACUGCAUUAAAAGAUCCGCAGAAAGGCCUGGUCCCUCUGAUCCUUUAGGAAAACAGAGAGAAGGAUGGCCAGAGUGCUUUAUUUUCAGCUUUAAACCGUUCCCACGUCAAAGACAUUUGCUCGAGCAAUUUAUGGGAAUGGCAUAGUAGCCAAAAGAAAAGUAAUGCUACUCUUGUCUACGUAGAUGUCACACUUAUAUGGCUCAUCAAGCUGGGAUCAGGACUGCAACAUCUCUCGUGGACAUUAAGGAAUAUUUGAUGUGGGUUUCUCCAUGAGCCUAUGUGCAAGGCUGAUCUGGUUGCAAAUUCAUGUUGAUAAGGCUGAGCCCAAGACAGCACCACCAUCAUUCCAGCAGCUCCUCUCAGGAGAAGUCUUGGUACAGACCCUUCUCCUCCUGUCCAACUUUCAUGGGGACACAGCACUGUACCUCUCAGCCCCACGUAAGAACUCCCUCUGUUUUCCGAGAAGCAGUGAGGCAAGCCUUCUUUCCUAUAGCCCACAAUGACAAUCUACUUAUUAUUCAGACACAGCCUCGCCUAAUUACCUUGUUAUUUUGUGGCAGGCUAGAACAAGGUAGCACCAUUAAGUCAAGUGUCUUCAUUUUAGCCAUCCACUGCCUUCAUUCUUGAUUUAGAAGGCAGUGGCACAAGAGUGCUCUCAGUCACACACAUCCCAUACAGCUCAGGUUGUCGUGCCACUAGCUUACCUUGGUUGUGUAUCUGCUUAUAGACUUUUUUCUUUAUUUCUUGCAUUUUUGGACCACCAAGAACAAGUUACAUUCUGUUAGAGUGACAAAGAGUAAUUGUAUUUUACGUGUUAUUUCUUGAUGGUAGAGGUACUUCAAACCUCAGAUUGAUUCCAGAUGUCAAUUAUCAGAAAGUUUGAUGCAGUCAGCUCAGGGUGUCCAAUUCUGACCUGUCUCCUGCAAACACAAUCAAAACCUUAUUAUAAGACUCAGAGCUCAGACAAAUGAUAAGCCAAGUCCAGGGAUCUGCCCAUAGUUCAUAUUUUUAGUGCAGGAAGAAUUGACUCAAAGGGAAAAUUGAUGUACAAGAAGAUGUGAUAAAGCUGACGUCCAGAUAGCAUUUGCUCUGCUGAAAUUUUACAACCUGAGCAAGACAAUCUGUGAAAGAGGUAAUUGAGCAUUUGAAAAGCACCUGUUAAUGACGGGUAAGAUAACAACCCCGAGGAACCACCUGUCAGGGCAGGUGAUGAACUCUCCCUCUGAUCUGUUUCUUACUACAGUUUUCUCCAGUGAAACUGGUAGCACAUUCACAUGUCUUUCUAGAGAAAGUUCAUAAUAACAGAGGAUUUAAAUAAACAGAAGAUUGAUUUUAAUGGAAGGUGAAUCAUUUGUAUUUCUUUUUUCUUUUCUCGUGCAGCUGAAAUGUUUUAUCUAGCUUAGAUUAUGAGGAAUGUAAAUAAAUUUAUGUUGAAUGUUAAAUAAACAUUUGCUUUCUUUUUUCCAAUUUCCUUUUCUCUUUCUCUUUUUAAUAAAUCUUAUUUGGGAUGA
ensembl:lncRNA